GUCAUGAAUACAAAACAUUGUGAAAUGUAGUGUUUUCUAUUUUGAAAUAUUGAUCAAUAAAUUGUCAGUGAUGUUGAAUAGACAGUAGGCCUACAGUAGGGUAAUGGACUGCCUCGACAGUUUGGCAGGCAUGUGAACCGCAGAUUAAUAGUAAA